GGGCUGAAUUACACCUUACCAAUGUUCAACGAGUGUAAGAAGGAACUGCAUUAUAAUGGCAGCAUGGUACAGACCAUUCCAAAGCUCAUCUCAUACACAUCUAAUGAGGAAGCUGCUUGUCCAAGAAGGAAGAGUAAACUGGGGAUCCCACCCGGACACAGAGUGUGCAGAUUACCUGAUUGUGGCGAAAAUCCUUGUCGAAACGGCUGGUGUGAGGAGACUAUGAGAAACUUCAAAUGCCACUGCUCUGCCGGAUAUCGAGGAAAACGUUGCGAUGAACAUGCAGAGACAUAAAUCCGCUGUUACCCUGAGAGACACGUUCCUACUUCUCUGCACUUCAUUCGUCAUUGCUCACGCGCGGGGGUCUACAAACAUGGCCGAUGAAGUGUUGCAUACGGAGGAUAAUCAUUGCCAGCCGAUUCUUGUCAAUGGUAAAUUGAUGCCUAUAGUGCCAGAAUACAUGCCCUCGUUUCCCGUCGCCUUGAAGGGUAUUAGACACCAUUUCGUUUGCAAGU